GGAUGUGAAGGCGAUCUGGCUGCAAUAUCUGUCACCUCACUGAUGACCAGGGUUGAUUCAGCUGAUCUGGCUGGCUAGGUGGGUGGCCCCUUCUUCCCUCACUACUCCAUGUGUGUCCCUCCCGAAGCUGUGCCCUCAAAGAGGAUGACCUUCCCCAAUAGAUGUGUACCAUUCAUCGGUCAAGGGUAUAUGGUAGCUGAGCUCCCCUGCUAGAACCUCCAAAUAAGACAUGACAGGACUAAUAGCCCAGCUGAAGAGCAUCUACACCAAUGUACACAGGAU
rnacentral:snRNA from 1 species